rnacentral:rRNA from 1 species
AUUGAACGCUGGCGGCAGGCUUAACACAUACAAGUCGAGCGAGCGGCGGACGGGUGAGUAAUGCUUAGGAAUCUGCCUAUUAGUGGGGGACAACAUCUCGAAAGGGAUGCUAAUACCGCAUACCAUCAGAUGCGCCCAGAUGGGAUUAGCUAGUAGGUGGGGUAACGGCUCACCUAGGCGACGACCCCUAGCUGGUCUGAGAGGAUGAUCAGCCACACUGGAACGGAGACACGGUCCAGACUCCACCGGGAGGCAGCAGUGGGGAAUAUUGCACAAUGGGAGCAAGCCUGAUACAGCCAUGCCGCGUGUGUGAAGAAGGCCUUCGGGUUGUAAAGCACUUUCAGCGGGGAGGCGUUACCCGCAGAAGAAGCACCGGCUAACUCCGUGCCAGCCGCCGCGGUAAUAC